AAAGUCGUAACAAGGUUUCCGUAGGUGAACCUGCGGAAGGAUCAUUAACACGUAUCCAACGUUAAACAACCCUGUGAACCUUCAUUCCUGCUCUCCUCGAGCCCUAACAAAAGCAAUCCUUGGUAAAUCACGCAAACAGUUUGAUUCAAGGACCUCUCUUGCUAGCCCUCGUGGAUUUGAUGCGGUCGUCGCAACUUAGGCUUGGCUUCUGCAAGGCAGUUAGUGGGUGAAAGUGCCACUGAUUGCUUAAGCGGAUAACCGACACUUUGCGUUAAGCAAAAUGCGGAUCAUCGAGUGCCCACACGGCCGAUGAACGAGUCUCUGGGCGCAAGCCCCCAAAUUAACUACCUCUAAACCUUAGCGGCCGCCUCGUGCUGUCGCUGUCGUGAAAGCUGAACAACUGUUAACAAUGGAUAUCUUGGUUCUC
rnacentral:misc_RNA from 1 species